rnacentral:lncRNA from 1 species
AGUAGCUAUUGUUUCCUAAAUGGCCACGGGGCUGGCAAUGCAGCAACAGCUACUGCACAUCUCUCUGGUCCCUCCCUACUACAAUCAAAACUUGUUCUGGUACAGGAAUAGCACAUUUUCUUCUUAACGUUCUUGAUAUGUUCCCUUUGAGCACGAGGGGAUUGGAAUCAGUUAGGCCUGCUCCUGUAAAAAACAGAGACUUGUCAAAAUAUCUUUCAGUGGAUAGGCUAUGGAAGUUACAUGUGCUAAAUUAGAUUGACAUAAUUCAAAUCAUAUAUAGUAGUGUUUAUUAUUUAAUAGAUGAUAGAUGAUGAACAUUCCUUUUAUUACCAACCAAAAUAUUAACUUUCAUAGAUACAGAACACAAUAUUAGGAUCAGCACAUUCAUCUAACAAUUUUUCAGGAUCAGAGCAUUUUUCAGGAUCAGAACACAAAAUAUUAACUGCUACUAGACGCAUCAAGAGCUGUUCAUGCCCCUGGAUUACUCUCUCUAUGUGGUUUUGAUCUGAUAAUUAAUAAUUAGUUAUUCAAAAGCUUGUUGAUCUUGUUGAUCAUGCCGCAAGCCUUCCUUGCUCUGCUAGUAUCGUGGCUAUAUAUAGUUUUAUUUUACUGAUACCGGUUUAGUCUUGGUUCGCUAGUAUAAUGGUCAAGCUGUAGUUUUUGAUAAAAAAAAAAUGUGAAAUUGAUUGGCAAGCUUACCUGAGAAACGAGGGACAUGCUGCCAGAGCUUGAUAUCUUCUUGUACAAUCUCGUCACUGAACUGGCGGCCGGUCAAUCGCUUUACUUCUGUAAAAACGUAGUAAUGUCGUCACUGAAACAGCUGAUCUGUGUUGGAUUCAACUGAAGAACAUAACAAUUGACAAGGAAUAUACAUAUGCGAGUGAUAAAACAGCCUGUGCUGUGUGCAGUAGUGCUCACCGAAAACUGUGUCGGUGGGGUUCAAAGCGGCCUAGUUUACGGCCGCCUCGCCGGCAAACAUCUCGUCGUCGCAGGGGGGGCCGGGGUGUAUAUGUGAUGCGGAUGGAGGGGCGUGCUAGAGUCCGCUUCGGAGGCGACGCACCGUCCGGCCGGAUCCACCUCAUCCUGCCACCGGACGCUUCCGCCGCCGCCGCCGCUGCUGCUGACAUCCGUGCGAACACAAGGUCGAGAAGUACCCUUGUGGUACGUUUUAUGAUGAGUGAUUGUCAACGUGAUCUACGAAUAGGUUGAGUUGGUGACUAACAUUACCAUGGCGAAAGCUAUGUGUGCGACAUGUCUCUUGGCUUGUGGUGUUCAGCUGUGGAGCUCGG